GAGGAUGUAUAGCGAAAGCUAGUUGUAUUAACUUCGACUAGUUCGAAGUUUAUGCAAGAUCGACUAUGUCGAAUAAAGUUCUAGGUAGAGUUAUGAUAAUGACAUUUUCUAUCUAUGUGUCUUGACCAAGUCACGUGCCAGCAGUCGCGGUAAUACGUGGAAGACUAGUGUUAUUCAUCUUUAAUAGGUUUAAAGGGUACUUAGACGGUAAAUUUAGCCCAAAUAAAAAACAAAGGGUACUAAUUAUACUAGAGUUUUAUGCGAGGGGGAGGUGUAAUAGUGGUGUAGGGAUGAAAUUCUGUCAUACCAUUAUGACAGGCAACGGCGAAAGCAACCUUUAUGUAAAAACUGACGUUAAAGGACGAAGGCUUUGUGUCACCAACAGGAUUAGAUACCCAAGUAAUCUUAGCAGACAAUUAUGAAUGCCAUAGAUAAGAAGAUAUAUCUUUCAUAGAUUACUUUUUAAUAAAAAUAGAAAGAUAAUAAAGUGUUAUUUUCUUUUUUNNNNNNAAAAAUGAAGACCCUUAUUGCCGCGGGAAAGGAAAAGGAUAAUUUUUUUAUGUCUAUAAAUGAAAGUGCAAGCUUUCCACCUCAAGAGUAAGGUGGCAACGCACAAACUGAAAUCAUUAGACCGUUUCUGAAACCAGUAGUGAAGUAUGUUGUAUAAUAUGANGGNCCAUACAAAACCUUACCACAACUUGUAUAGGUUAGUCUAAUACAGGAGUUGCACGGCUGUCUUCAGUUAAUGUCGUGAGAUUUUGGUUAGUUCCAUAAAAUUAACGUAAACCCUUACUUUAUUAAAUUAAAAAGUAGUUCACCGCUAUAUUGGAUAUGAUAAUGGGGACUAGACAAGUCAUCAUGGCCUGNAUAUUGUG
rnacentral:rRNA from 1 species